GACAGGAGCUUGCUCCUGAAUUCAGCGGCGGACGGGUGAGUAAUGCCUAGGAAUCUGCCUGGUAGUGGGGGACAACGUUUCGAAAGGAACGCUAAUACCGCAUACGUCCUACGGGAGAAAGCAGGGGACCUUCGGGCCUUGCGCUAUCAGAUGAGCCUAGGUCGGAUUAGCUAGUUGGUGAGGUAAUGGCUCACCAAGGCGACGAUCCGUAACUGGUCUGAGAGGAUGAUCAGUCACACUGGAACUGAGACACGGUCCAGACUCCUACGGGAGGCAGCAGUGGGGAAUAUUGGACAAUGGGCGAAAGCCUGAUCCAGCCAUGCCGCGUGUGUGAAGAAGGUCUUCGGAUUGUAAAGCACUUUAAGUUGGGAGGAAGGGCAUUAACCUAAUACGUUAGUGUUUUGACGUUACCGACAGAAUAAGCACCGGCUAACUCUGUGCCAGCAGCCGCGGUAAUACAGAGGGUGCAAGCGUUAAUCGGAAUUACUGGGCGUAAAGCGCGCGUAGGUGGUUUGUUAAGUUGGAUGUGAAAG
rnacentral:rRNA from 8 species